AUUCUACUCCCUCCGUUGCACAAUACAUGCCUUCUAUUUGUCAAAAUAUAUAUGUAUCUAGACAUGUCUUAGUAUAUAGGUACAUCCAUUUUUGGACAAAUGGAAGUCAAGUAUUUUGGAAUGGAGGGAGUAAAGA
rnacentral:pre_miRNA from 1 species